rnacentral:rRNA from 1 species
UACGGAGGAUGCGAGCGUUAUCCGGAUUUAUUGGGUUUAAAGGGUGCGUAGGCGGAUUUUUAAGUCAGCGGUAAAAUGUCCGGGCUCAACCCGGGCCGGCCGUUGAAACUGGGGAUCUUGAGUGGGCGAGAAGUAUGCGGAAUGCGUGGUGUAGCGGUGAAAUGCAUAGAUAUCACGCAGAACCCCGAUUGCGAAGGCAGCAUACCGGUGCACAACUGACGCUCAGGCACGAAAGCGUGGGUAUCGAACAGG